AAUGCGUUUGCUGCAGCACUAAAGGGCGGAAACCCUCUAACACUUAGCACUCAUCGUUUACGGCGUGGACUACCAGGGUAUCUAAUCCUGUUCGCUCCCCACGCUUUCGCGCCUCAGCGUCAGUUACAGACCAGAGAGCCGCCUUCGCCACUGGUGUUCCUCCACAUCUCUACGCAUUUCACCGCUACACGUGGAAUUCCGCUCUCCUCUUCUGCACUCAAGUUCCCCAGUUUCCAAUGACCCUCCCCGGUUGAGCCGGGGGCUUUCACAUCAGACUUAAGGAACCGCCUGCGCGCGCUUUACGCCCAAUAAUUCCGGACAACGCUUGCCACCUACGUAUUACCGCGGCUGCUGGCACGUAGUUAGCCGUGGCUUUCUGGUCAGGUACCGUCAAGGUACCGGCAGUUACUCCGGUACUUGUUCUUCCCUGACAACAGAACUUUACGACCCGAAAGCCUUCAUCGUUCACGCGGCGUUGCUCCGUCAGACUUUCGUCCAUUGCGGAAGAUUCCCUACUGCUGCCUCCCGUAGAGUCUGGGCCGUGUCUCAGUCCCAGUGUGGCCGAUCACCCUCUCAGGUCGGCUACGCAUCGUUGCCUUGGUGAGCCGUUACCUCACCAACUAGCUAAUGCGCCGCGGGCCCAUCUGUAAGUGACAGCC
rnacentral:rRNA from 1 species